CCUACGGGAGGCAGCAGUGGGGAAUAUUGCACAAUGGGCGAAAGCCUGAUGCAGCGACGCCGCGUGAGGGAUGACGGCCUUCGGGUUGUAAACCUCUUUCAGUAGGGAAGAAGCGAAAGUGACGGUACCUACAAAAGAAGCACCGGCUAACUACGUGCCAGCAGCCGCGGUAAUACGUAGGGUGCGAGCGUUGUCCGGAAUUAUUGGGCGUAAAGAGCUUGUAGGCGGUUUGUCGCGUCUGCCGUGAAAAUCCGGGGCUCAACCCCGGACUUGCGGUGGGUACGGGCAGACUAGAGUGUGGUAGGGGAGACUGGAAUUCCUGGUGUAGCGGUGAAAUGCGCAGAUAUCAGGAGGAACACCGAUGGCGAAGGCAGGUCUCUGGGCCACUACUGACGCUGAGAAGCGAAAGCGUGGGGAGCGAACAGGAUUAGAUACCCUGGUAGUCCACGCCGUAAACGUUGGGAACUAGGUGUGGGCCUCAUUCCACGAGGUCUGUGCCGCAGCUAACGCAUUAAGUUCCCCGCCUGGGGAGUACGGCCGCAAGGCUAAAACUCAAAUGAAUUGACGG
rnacentral:rRNA from 1 species